rnacentral:rRNA from 1 species
UGGGGAAUUGUUCGCAAUGGGCGCAAGCCUGACGACGCAACGCCGCGUGGAGGAUGAAGAUUUUCGGAUCGUAAACUCCUGUCGAGUGGAAAGAAUAGUCCUGGGGCUAACAUCCUUGGGGCCUGACGGUACCACUAAAGGAAGCCCCGGCUAACUCCGUGCCAGCAGCCGCGGUAAUACGGGGGGGGCAAGCGUUGUUCGGAAUUACUGGGCGUAAAGGGCUCGUAGGCGGCCAACUAAGUCGGAUGUGAAAUCCCCAGGCUCAACCUGGGAACUGCAUCCGAUACUGGAUGGCUUGAAUUCGGGAGAGGGAUGCAGAAUUCCAGGUGUAGCGGUGAAAUGCGUAGAUAUCUGGAGGAAUACCGGUGGCGAAGGCGGCAUCCUGGACCGACAUUGACGCUGAGGAGCGAAAGCCAGGGGAGCAAACGGG